AUACGUAGGGGGCAAGCGUUAUCCGGAAUCAUUGGGCGUAAAGAGUACGUAGGUGGUUUUCUAAGCGGGAGGUCUAAGGCUGCGGCUUAACUGCAGUUCGCCUCUCGAACUGGGAGACUUGAGUGCUGGAGAGGAAAGUGGAAUUCCUAGUGUAGCGGUGAAAUGCGUAGAUAUUAGGAGGAACACCAGUGGCGAAGGCGACUUUCGGGACAGUAACUGACACGGAGGUACGAAAGCGUGGGGAGCAAACAGGAUUAGAUACCCUGGUAGUCCACGCCGUAAACGAUGAGCACUAGGUGUCGGGGUCGCAAGACUUCGGUGCCGCAGUUAACGCAUUAAGUGCUCCGCCUGGGGAGUACGUUCGCAAGAAUAAAACUCAAAUGAAUUGACGGGG
rnacentral:rRNA from 1 species